ACAUAUGAGAUUCAUCAUGCUUCAUGAUGUACGACAAGAAGAUGGAAUCAAAAACUUCUUCAAUGACGUGUAUGAUUUAUACAUUAAGUUUGCAAUGAAUCCUUUCUAUGAAACCAAUGCUCCAAUCCGGUCGACGGCAUUUGACAGGAAAGUACAGUUCCUUGGAAAGAAGCACCUCUUGAGCUGAUGAACUAACCUGGACAACAUGGUUGUGUAGCUUUUUUAAUGUCUUCAUUGUGUGCAGUUUCCAGUUGAAAUAUGUUUUUUAAGACAUAUAUAUAUACAUAAUAUACACAUAAUUUGUCUAUGAUCACCUGUUGUAUGUCUUAUAAUUUCAGUAUGUAUUACUGAUACUUCCCAACCACUGUAUAAAAGCUAUUGUAAGCAUGGAAGAUUAUGUUGCAUAAUGAAUGGAUGGUACACUAUAUAUACAAAAGUAUGUGGACACCCCUUCAAAUUUGUCGAUUUGGCAAUUUCAGCCACACCCAUUGCUGACAGGUGUAUAAAAUCGAGCACACAGCCAUGCAAUCACCAUAGCUAACAUUUGCAGUAGAAUGGCCUUACUGAAGAGCUCAGUGACUUUCAAUGUGGCACCAUCAUAGGAUGCCACCUUUCCAACAAGUCAGUUUGUCAAAUUUCUGCCCUGCUAGAGCUGCCCAGGUCAACUGUUCAAGUGAUGUUAUUGUGAAGUGGGAAAGUCUAGGAGCAACAAUGGCUCAGCCGUGAAGUGGUAGGCCACACAAGCUCACUGAAAGGGACUGCCGAGUGCUGAAGCGUGUAAAAAUGGUCUCCUAGGUUGCAACACUCACGACCGAGUUCCGAACUGCCUCUGAAAGCAACGUCAGCACACUAACUGUUCGUCGGGAGCUUAAUGAAAGGGGUUUUCAUGGCUGAGCAGCUGCACACAAGCCUAAGAUCACCAUGUGCAAUGCCAAGCAUUGGCUGGAGUGGUGUAAAGCUCGCCGCCAUUGGAUUCUGGAGCUGUGGAAACGCAUUCUCUGGAGUGAUGAAUCACACUUCAAAAUCAGAUGGACUAUUCUGGGUUUCGCGGAUGCCAGGAAAAUGCUACCUGCCCAAAAUGCAUAGUGCCAACUGCAAAGUUUGGUGGAUGAGGAAUAAUGGUUUGGGCUAGGUCCCUUAGUUCCAGGGAAGAUAAAUCUUAAUGCUACAGUAUAUAAUGACAUUCUAGACAAUUCUGUACUUCCAACUUUGUGGCAACAGUUUGGGAUAGGCCAUUUCCUGUUUCAUCAUGACCAACUCCAUAUUAAUGACCAUGAUUUUGGAACGAGAUGUUCGACGAUCAGGUGUUCACCUACUUUUGGUAAUGUAGUGUAUGUGUCACCAGAAUUUUGUUUCCAAGUUUGAUAAUAAUGACAAGGUUUGUAUGAGGCUUUUCUGAACUUGAAUGAGCUUGUUAAAUAUUAUCCCAUUCAAAAGACGGUAAUGUUAAACAUUCACAAAGCUGUCUGCUGCCUUAGGGGAAUUCUCUGGCGCUGCCCAAAUGCUCUGUGCAAAUGCAACUAUGCCCUGCACACAAUAGUUUUGGAAACAUUUGCAACCAUACUUUCAUAUAAGCGAGAAAUAAUUUUUCAAACACAAAACACACUUAACAUAUGCAGUUCAGGAAAGUUGCACCCGGCUGUAUUUUGUGGAACACUCGAAAUCUGGAGUGGCAUGUGUCGUAGCCGGCUGCAACUUUGCUAAACUGCGCAAAGUAAGUGUACUUUUUUGGAUUUGCAAGAUUUUUUCUUGCUUGUAUGAAAGUUAAGUUCCAAAGGUUUCCAAAAACGCAUUGCAAGUGAGGUGUAUUUGCGUUUAAACAGAGCGUCUGGAUUGUAGUUCACAUGAAGGCAGCUGUGUUCCGUACCAUUGGCUGAGAAGCCAAAAGGGUGGCCAACUGUAAGCUGGUUAUACACUCCCUUGGGUUAUUGAGAGCUAGUUAAAUCAAUGUAAAUGUGGCUAAGUUUACACAGGUAGCCCAAUUCUGAUGAGAUCUGCUCUGAUUGGUCAAAAGACCCAUUGUUGGCAGAAUAUCAGAAUUAGGCUGCCGGUGUAAACUAAGCCAUUCAUUCCUGAGGUUUGUGAAAUGCUGACUCACUGUCCAGUUCCUCUGAUUAAAUACUAUCAUUAACAUAA